ensembl:lncRNA
GACCAAAGUGACGUCUGUCCGCUCUACAGCGCUCUGUCGUUUUUACACAGCUGGUAUUUAGUUUAUAUAUUAAUUUACUGACCUGUAUAUACAUGUACUAUAGAGCUUAUUUAAUGUCAUAUUUGACUCGUUCAGUAAGUUAUUUAUGCCUGUCAUGAGCGGAGCACGUGCGCUCACUCGCUGCGGUUAUGAGCCCUCGCGCGAUGUAGUCUGUGUGGACCUCAUCCAGUGAGGUCUGUGUGGACCUCAUCCAGUGAGGUCCGUCCUGUGUGACGUAGUUAGUCCGUGCAGACCUUUCCAGCGAGGCUCAGCCUGCCGUGGCUCUGUCCUUUCCUGUAGUGUCUGCUAGAGAGACGUGAGGCUGUUUGAGGCCCUGCUGUGGCCCCUCGCUGCAGGGUUAUAGGAAAACCUCAGACACGUGGACAGGAAACCUCCAUGUGUUGGUUAAAGGAAACCAGUCCAGGUUUCAAUCUGUAUUCAUUCUGUUUACCUCUUGUAGUCAUGAGCGUGAUGGAGUCCAGUGAGGGGACCCCGUGCAGUGAAGGAACGAGUCUGCAGGUACAGCACAAAUAGUUGUUUACGAUGGUAAUUUGUUGAAAUGACUAAGUACACCUCUUUGAAGGUAUAUUUAGUCUCACUAAAGCUGGUACUUUAAUAACACCACUAAUCUAAUUUGAAUGUAUUCAACAUUUGUAUAUUAUAACAAGACAUCACAAAUGUUUGGAGAAUUUGCCUCCCUCUUAGUUUCAAUAACAUUUUGUCUGAUGGCUUUAUACUAUUGACACUAUGUAUACAUGUGUGCUCACAACUGCUUUACAUGGGUGAUUUUAAGUACUUAGUCACAUAUUUCCACUACUGUGUCCCUGAAGGAAAAUAUGUUUUUUUUUAAAUUUUUAUUAAACUUCUUUACAGGACCGCAGAGAUGAAUUCCUCAGACCUGACUUGACAGCUGGGACUCAACUAUGACUGAGUUGCUAAAGUAAGUUUAGUCAUAUAGCUGGUGGUGACGGUGCAUUGGGUGCGUGCAGACCUUUCCAGCGAGGCUCAGCCUGCCGUGGCUCCGUCCUUUCCUGUAGUGUCUGCUAGAGAGACGUGAGGCUGUUUGAGGCCCGGCCGUGACUCUUUAUGGCCUGGUUAUAGGUAAACCUCCGACAUUUACUGUCUUGUGCUUCCAGACGGAUGAUGUUCUCAGCUUGCUGCUCAGUUGUCUCUUCACUCUUUAAUCCUGUUUUUUUGCUGCACAGGAACAGAUUCCAGUCAAAUCUGAGGCCUUGAGCUGCCGUUGAGUCCACUUACGCCAUUGGUAUGUUAUCCUGAAUGUUUUUUCAUAACUGAAAAUUAAGCAUAGAACAUAAACUUGUAGCGUUUAUUGAAUUUCUUAAUCACUAACGUUACUUAUUUUAUAUUCCUCACUUUUUCAGUGCACAGCUUCCAGCUGGGUUCAAUGAGCCGUUUCAUGGUCUUCUGCUGUGUUGAACCGGAGAACUAAAAGUGUCCAUAAGCAGAACUUUGACGCAGGUGAGCAUGCAGUAUUCCAACAGGCUGAUGGCUUAUUUUUUACAGUAAAAAAUUGAUUAUUUUAUUUGUUUGCAGAUUUCAUCAGAGUUGGAGAGUUCAUCUGCUGAAGGAAAACAAAUGUAGCAUUUCUGUGUACAGUUGCUGUUAUUCCGCUUCUAAAUAUAAAAAACAUUCUUGUAAUGGCUUCCCUGGUCUUUCUCACGUUGGGUUUAGUGCAAUGAUGUUAGUUGAUGUGCUGUUGGCUCAAUGUUUUGGUGAGUUCUGCAUUAGACUGUUAAGGCCACUCGCCUUUGACAAUGCAGAGACCAGACGUUUAACUUUCACUUACUCAACAAGAACACUGUACGGCACCGAAGAACUUCAUACAUUACAGCACUGGUGCCGCUCACAUGCGCUGAUGGACACGUUGGUCAGACAACGAGGGACAAGUGGAGGCUCUGCUAGUUAAAAGGAUUUUUGGGCCAAUGUUGGAUUGCGUUCAAAUAACUGUCCUUGCUGUCUUCAUAAAGGUUUACACAUUUUAUAUUUCAAUAUGAUUACGAAGUUGACAAAUUAAACCUUGACCUACAUGUAUAGUAUCCAAUAAAUUCUAGUUUGUAGUAAACUCUACAUUAACAGUAGAGGACCAAUUUAGUUGAGGCUGAUUCUCUCAACGGACGUGCUGCACAUAUGUAACGGAGUGCCACAUUGAGGUACAAAAUAUGGGUUAUGGGCAAGUUAAAAUCUCAGUAAUCCAAAUGUUCCAUUGAAUCUGAUAGUGAUGAGCCAUGCAUGUAUCCUGUUAAGCCAGAGAUGUGGUUUGAAAUGUUUAACAUAAUGCUGAAAUCAAUCUGGUAAUUUUAUUGCACCACCUGACAGCCUUUUUUCCCCCCUUUGGGCUUAUUGUUGCCUACUUGAUCAACCAUUGCUCAAUCCUACAGUUGCAAAGGUUUCUAAUUUAUCCCCCUUUAUAACAGACGAAUAUGAACCG